rnacentral:tRNA from 1 species
UCCCUAGCAGUCCAGUGGUUAGGACUUGGCACUUCCACUGGCAGGGCCUGGGUUCAAUCCCUGGUCAGGGAA